rnacentral:rRNA from 1 species
AUUGAACGCUGGCGGCAGGCCUAACACAUGCAAGUCGAGCGGAGCGGCCGACGGGUGAGUAAUGCCUAGGAAUCUGCCUGGCAGUGGGGGAUAACGUACGGAAACGGGCGCUAAUACCGCACACUAUCAGUUGAGCCUGGGUGGGAUUAGCUAGUUGGUGGGGUAAAUGCCUACCAAGGCGACGAUCCGUAACUGGUCUGAGAGGGGGAUCAGGCACACUGGAACUGAGACACGGUCCAGACUCCUACGGGAGGCAGCAGUGGGGAAGAUUGGACAAUGGGCGAAAGCCUGAUCCAGCCAUGCCGCGUGUGUGAAGAAGGUCUUCGGAUUGUAAAGCACUUUCAGUUGGGAGGCGUUACCAGCAGAAGAAGCACCGGCUAACUUCGUGCCAGCAGCCGCGGUAAUAC